CAUACCUAUUGUUGCUUCGGCGGGAUUGCCCCGGGCGCCUCGUGUGCCCCGGAUCAGGCGCCCGCCUAGGAAACUCAACUCUUGUUUUAUUUUGGAAUCUUCUGAGUAGUUUUUACAAAUAAAUAAAAACUUUCAACAACGGAUCUCUUGGUUCUGGCAUCGAUGAAGAACGCAGCGAAAUGCGAUAAGUAAUGUGAAUUGCAGAAUUCAGUGAAUCAUCGAAUCUUUGAACGCACAUUGCGCCCGCCAGUAUUCUGGCGGGCAUGCCUGUCUGAGCGUCAUUUCAACCCUCAUGCCCCUAGGGCGUGGUGUUGGGGAUCGGCCAAAGCCCGCGAGGGACGGCCGGCCCCUAAAUCUAGUGGCGGACCCGUCGUGGCCUCCUCUGCGAAGUAGUGAUAUUCCGCAUCGGAGAGCGAUGAGCCCCUGCCGUUAAACCCCCAACUUUCCAAGGUUGACCUCAGAUCAGGUAGGAAUACCCGCUGAACUUAAGCAUAUCAAUA
rnacentral:rRNA from 1 species